ACCCUGAAGAUUCCGCCUCCUUCACGGAAAUAUCUGAGCAGUUACAAAUAGAUUUCUUUCCCAGCAAACACUUGGAAAAACUUUCCUCAGAGCAAAUGCGAUGUUAUCUUCAGUACAAGACGAUUCUCUCACUUUGCUUGUUCCGCUGCUGCAUCAGGUCAAUCCUCGGAAUUCAAAAAGCUCCUCUCACAGAGGGCUACAGGACGUCACAGGAGCCAGGUUCUGCCUUUCUUAAGUUAAUCCUCCUCAUCCCCACCACAGAUAAUUAACACUGGAACGUGUGUCCCAACUACUGUAACCUGUCAGCGCCACCAGGCGAGCAGGACAGGGGGCCGGAGGGGGACAGAUGCGGCCCGUUGCUCCUUCUACAACACUCAUCUCACCCGGCAAGGCGCAGGUGCAGAAACUGCUCACCUGAAUGUAAAUGAAAUUCUGGGAAGAUGGACUGGCAAGAAAAUACCUGGUCCUUCCUGAUCACUCAAAUUAACAAGGUUUUUUGUGACCCCCUCUUGGUUUUGGCCCUACGUGCACUCUUGAGUGCCUAUUUGCUUAAUCAGUUAUGUAUUUUUCUACAUCCUCUCACAUUCUGCUUGAAAGCGAUUCAGGAAGUUAAGAAGUUGCCAAAAUCUGGAGAGAUCAGAUUCCAUUUUAACAGCCAGCAAAGGACCUGCCAACUGAAUGGAAUUUUGUAAUUACCGAGUAAAAGGCUGGCACUUCCUUGCCAAGAACAGAGUAAAAGCAUGAACACUGAGGAGCGAGGGAGCCAGUGAGGGCGAGAACAGCACGAGCACUACCGCGAGCACAGCGUGGGGCGCGGCAGUGAAGCUAGAUUCCUACCUUCUUUUGGGUUCUGCUUAAAUUGUGCAGAAAGAGAAGAAAGAAAGAUGACAUCUCUGUCCCGGUCCUUCCAGGAGACGCGGAAGAUCUUACAGACCAGCUGCAAGGCCUGCUCUUCGGACACUUCUGAACCCGAGGAAGGCUCCUUGUGAGGGAGAAGAUUUGCAGGGAUAUGAAAAAGCUGCUGUCCUCAAUUCAAUUCACCCUGCUGUGAAAAUGUCACCAUCUCGAGCUUCCUAGAAAGCUAUGACGGCGAUUAGAAACGUGGCCCAGAUGCAGUCCCUUAUUGGCUGAUUAGGCGCUCUGAAGUCACUGUAGCAGGGGCUCAAGAGUGGACCACGCCCGAGGAGUAAGCCCCACCCUCAAGUAUUUCCAGAUCCACGCGGGAAAAGACAUGGACAAAACCCAUCAACUGGGAUACAGCACGGUAAGAAGAAAACGAAAUCAUCAUUAUUUCCUGCCAUGCCUAUAAAACUGGAAAACAUUCCGGUGGAAGUGCAGCUCUGCUCCAGAUCACCCUCGCUCCGACAGCCAGGAUGACAGCGGAGCCUCCACGGGCCACAGGCUGGACUGGCCAGAAGGGACCCGGUCACUUCUGCUCACAUUUCAUUGGCCAGAACAUGUCACAUGGGCACAACUUAAGGCAGCUGGGUGGAGACAGAGAGCCCUCCCCCAGGAAGGGGCAGUGAAUAUCCCAACAAGAACACCGUCUGGUAUAGUAGAGUCUUUUUAAUUCACCGCAUAUGUGACGUUACGGGUCACUUACCGCACACGCCCCCCCAAGUAACUGCCCAGCAUCCCCUCUUCAGCUCUUGGCUCAAACGCUACUUCCCAGUGAGUCCUUCCCUUACCACCUCCUAUCUCCGCUUUAUGGUUCUCCACGCUUUCCAACAGUCCAACCAAAACCAACAGGUAUGUGUACGUACAUACAUACACAUGAACACACGUAGACAGGUCCGGGUGUGUGCACACAUGUAUACAGGCACGUUCGUACUGACAGCAUUGAAGUGAACACGGCAAAAAGGCAACACCAAAAACUGAUGCAUCUGGGUGACUUGGUCAACCUUUCUGUGGAUCUGAAAAUUCCCGGAGUAAGAAGCUGAGAGGAAAAGGAGAUGCACCAGCAUGGCUCGUGCUUUCUCUAGCUGGGGCUCAGCUGCACAGAGCAGGCACGAGGCCGGAGUCUCCGGGGCUGCUGACUGAGGACGGGGAAGGUCACGGACAGUGCACACGAGGCACUGAGUAUCACCAAGCAGAAGCCAAGGCAAAGGUGGCAUCUGGAUCCCAGGUUCCGGUCUCUUCCCGUGGCCCAGCCGUCCUUCUGUCCUUGGGCUCAGAAAGAAGACCCCCGCACCCUUAAAAUAAAUCUCAUAAAUCAAAUGAGUCGUUCUGUUACUUCCUACGCGUACGCGUGUGACUACUUCAGCUCCCCGGGGUGCUCUCCGUCAUCCGCCUGUGCGGGGAGCAUCACCUCGCUUUUCUCCCGAGUGGGUUUUCAGGAUUCAAAUUCAGUUACACCGACUGUAUGUUAACAGCAUGGCCAAUCAUCCGAGGCAGUAAUUUGGAAAAUCGAGCAACAUACGAACUCUCACGCUAUCCAGCACGUCACCGGACUGGAGU